rfam:Picea glauca, whole genome shotgun sequence.
UCAUGUAAUGAUGCCUACAAUAUUAAUGCACCAGAUCUCAUUAGAAUUCCACAGUUAAGUGCGCUUGGGCUAGAGUAGUAUAGGCAUGGGCGACCUCCCAGGAAGUCCUAGUGUUUUGCUGU